rnacentral:pre_miRNA from 1 species
GUGAGUGUUUCUUUGGCAGUGUCUUAGCUGGUUGUUGUGAGCAAUGGUCAAGGAAGCAAUCAGCAAGUAUACUGCCCUAGAAGUGCUACAC